rnacentral:rRNA from 1 species
CCUACGGGAGGCAGCAGUAGGGAAUUUUCGGCAAUGGGGGGAACCCUGACCGAGCAACGCCGCGUGAGUGAGGAAGGCCUUCGGGCUGUAAAGCUCUGUUGCAGAGGAAGAACGGGAGAGCGAGGAAAUGCGCUUUUCGUGACGGUACUCUGCGAGAAAGCCACGGCUAACUACGUGCCAGCAGCCGCGGUAAUACGUAGGUGGCAAGCGUUAUCCGGAAUCAUUGGGCGUAAAGAGGGAGCAGGCGGACGCGAAGGUCCGUAGUAAAAGCCCGAAGCUAAACUUCGGGCGGCUAUGGAAACCGCGCGCCUAGAGUGCGGAAGAGGAUCGCGGAAUUCCAUGUGUAGCGGUGAAAUGCGUAGAUAUAUGGAGGAACACCGGUGGCGAAGGCGGCGGUCUGGUCCGGCACUGACGCUCAUGCCCGAAAGCGUGGGGAGCAAAUAGGAUUAGAUACCCGAGUAGUC